UCCCUCCCUGCCUCCUUCCACACCGUCUCUGUAGCUCUUCCUCUCCCAUGCUGCCUUCCUCUCCAUGCUGCCUUCCUCUCCCCACCGUCCUGCUGCCUUCCUCUCCACACCGUCUGCGCCUUCCUCCAUGCUGUCCUUCUCCCAUGCUGCCUUCUCUUCCACACCGUCCUGCUGCCUUUCUCUCCACACCGUCAUGCUGCCUUCCUCUCCACACCGUCCUGCUGCCUUCCUCUCCACACCGUCAUGCUGCCUUCCUCUCCACACCGUCAUGCUGCCUUCCUCUCCACACCGUCAUGCUGCCUCUCUCCACACCGUCCUGCUGCCUUCCUCUUCCACACCGUCCUGCUGCUGUGCUCACUGCCAACAAAUCUCCUUUUAUUUAUUUAUUUAAUCCAUUUUAGAAUAGCUGUAACUUCACAAAUGUGGAAAAAGUCAAGGGGUCUGAUACAUUGUUAUCUACUUCCCACCAUAG
rnacentral:lncRNA from 1 species